rnacentral:rRNA from 1 species
ACAUGCCUACAACAUAGCAUUAAUGGACCGGAUCCCAUUAGAACUUCAUAGUUAAGCGCACUCAUGCUAGAUUAGUUCUGGGAUGGGUUACCACCUGGGAAUUCCUACUAUUUUACAUGCC